UUAAUUGAAGAGUUUGAUCAUGGCUCAGAUUGAACGCUGGCGGCAGGCCUAACACAUGCAAGUCGAGCGGUAACAGGAGAAAGCUUGCUUUCUUGCUGACGAGCGGCGGACGGGUGAGUAAUGUAUGGGGAUCUGCCCGAUAGAGGGGGAUAACUACUGGAAACGGUGGCUAAUACCGCAUAAUGUCUACGGACCAAAGCAGGGGCUCUUCGGACCUUGCACUAUCGGAUGAACCCAUAUGGGAUUAGCUAGUAGGUGGGGUAAAGGCUCACCUAGGCGACGAUCUCUAGCUGGUCUGAGAGGAUGAUCAGCCACACUGGGACUGAGACACGGCCCAGACUCCUACGGGAGGCAGCAGUGGGGAAUAUUGCACAAUGGGCGCAAGCCUGAUGCAGCCAUGCCGCGUGUAUGAAGAAGGCCUUAGGGUUGUAAAGUACUU
rnacentral:rRNA from 1 species